ACCAAUCUCCUUCUCCUGUCCCUCUCUCAGUCUCCCAGAAGUCAUGAUCAGCUAUGUUGACGAGGACAUCCCUGAGUCACUUGCAUCACGGAGUUGUAUCUCUUUAACGGAUUCGGAGAGCGAUGGCUGUCCUGCAGAAGCUGAUCUUGGGCCGAGGUCAGACAGUUUGGAGGGGAUCCCUGAGAUGCUUGAGGCAGAAAGCCUUCCCUCUUUGCUGGUAACGUAAUAGCGUCCUUUCCGCCCUUUUUCCUCUUAUUGGAGGACUGUCCAAACUCAUUCUUUUUCCCCCCUUCAUA